GACGAACGCUGGCGGCGUGCCUAAUACAUGCAAGUCGAGCGAAUCAAUAGGAGCUUGCUCCUGUUGGUUAGCGGCGGACGGGUGAGUAACACGUGGGCAACCUGCCUGUAAGACUGGGAUAACACCGGGAAACCGGUGCUAAUACCGGAUAAUCCUUUUCCUCUCAUGAGGAAAAGCUGAAAGUCGGUUUCGGCUGACACUUACAGAUGGGCCCGCGGCGCAUUAGCUAGUUGGUGAGGUAACGGCUCACCAAGGCGACGAUGCGUAGCCGACCUGAGAGGGUGAUCGGCCACACUGGGACUGAGACACGGCCCAGACUCCUACGGGAGGCAGCAGUAGGGAAUCUUCCACAAUGGACGAAAGUCUGAUGGAGCAACGCCGCGUGAGCGAUGAAGGCCUUCGGGUCGUAAAGCUCUGUUGUUAGGGAAGAACAAGUAUCGGAGUAACUGCCGGUACCUUGACGGUACCUAACCAGAAAGCCACGGCUAACUACGUGCCAGCCGCCGCCGUAAAAC
rnacentral:rRNA from 1 species